rnacentral:rRNA from 1 species
GACGAACGCUGGCGGCGUGCCUAAUACAUGCAAGUAGAACGCUGAAGGAGGAGCUUGCUUCUCUGGAUGAGUUGCGAACGGGUGAGUAACGCGUAGGUAACCUGCCUGGUAGCGGGGGAUAACUAUUGGAAACGAUAGCUAAUACCGCAUAAUAGUAGAUGUUGCAUGACAUUUGCUUAAAAGGUGCAAUUGCAUCACUACCAGAUGGACCUGCGUUGUAUUAGCUAGUUGGUGGGGUAACGGCUCACCAAGGCGGCGAUACAUAGCCGACCUGAGAGGGUGAGCGGCCACACUGGGACUGAGACACGGCCCAGACUCCUACGGGAGGCAGCAGUAGGGAAUCUUCGGCAAUGGACGGAAGUCUGACCGAGCAACGCCGCGUGAGUGAAGAAGGGUUUCGGAUCGUAAAGCUCUGUUGUAAGAGAAGAACGAGUGUGAGAGUGGAAAGUUCACACUGUGACGGUAUCUUACCAGAAAGGGACGGCUAACUACGUG